AGGGUGACCCAUUUUGGCAAGGCAUUAGAGAUACACUGUUUGGAGCUCCCUCCAAUGAGACACAGGACUGCCACCCCCCCAAACCUGUUCUCGUCAGCACUGGAGAGGUGUGAGCACGGUUCUUUUUCAGCCUUUUUCCAUUGUAGCCCCAGCGCAGCCUAACACUUUCCAAUGGCUUAAACUGUGGUGUUACCCUCUGGGAAUUGUGUUUCCAAAGCUAGGACUGUGUGUCAGUGUACUGUAACAUGAUGUCACCAUGGAGAUGUGGCCGUGCUGUUCUCUCUGGCCUAGCUGACCUGGCCCCUCCCGUGUCACCCAAACAUUGUGGGCGUCCAGAUGAUCACCACAGGACCUCUGGCCAUUGUGGCUGUCCCUGGAGAAAUGACCACCAUGUCAGGGGAGGCCGUCAAGCACGUGAGAAUCAAAUAUCACACACACACAUACAUACACACCCACUCAUUAAGGCAAAUAUUCUGUUUGCAUUUUUUGGUAUUACAUUUGAAUGUGUUAUACAGAUGACCUUUGUUUGUUGAUAAGGAACUUGGAGGCUCAGCGAACGUUCAGUAAUGCAGAGGUGGUCGUCGCUGGCCUGUGUAGCAUCUACUCAUUACAUUACCACCUAUGAGGAGUACCAGGUGCGAGAGAAGAAGUGAGAUUUUGAGUGGUAUCAGAUCGCUGCUCCAGAUCAGAUCGCAAAAUAGCUGACAAUCACUUAUUACAGUUAUUUCUCGAAGAUCCAGCAUUGCAAAGGAG
ensembl:lncRNA